rnacentral:sRNA from 1 species
GCUGGGCAUGGAGUGCAUGCCUGUAAUCCUAGCAGCUUGGGAGGCUGAGGCAGGAAGAUCUCAAGUUCAAAGCCAGCUUCAGCGAUUUAUUGAGGCCUAAGCAACUUAGUGAGACCCUGUCUUGA